rnacentral:misc_RNA from 1 species
UUGGAUUAAAGAUGGCUUUUGUCAAUAAAAUUGGGAAUAUUCUUAGACAUGGUGUAGGCAAAAACGCAAACUUGGAACUCUCUGCCUCAAAUGGUUCACUUUUCCAGACUAUAAGAAGCAUGUCUUCGUCUAAGCUUUUCGUUGGGGGUCUCUCGUAUGGCACUGAUGAAAGUUCUCUGAAAGAGACAUUCUCUCAAUAUGGUGAAGUAAUCG